AGAGAAUCAUAAACAGGAACAUUGCAGUUCUUACCUUUACCAAGCACAUAGGCAGUCAAUUAUUGGCUUGGUGCUUCUGAUCUGAACAUAGAGGGGAAAUGGCUGAGGGAAGGACAACGACGCAUGAACUACACAAACUGGAAUCCAGGACAACCUGAUAAUGCAGGAGGU